rnacentral:lncRNA from 1 species
GGAUACACCUCUCCUUUACUCCGGCCGCCGUCGCCAAUUGGUACUGUCACCACCCUCUUGUUUGCUUCUUUCCUACUACACAAAAAUUCAAAUAUAUACUCACUCGCAGUGGCGGAGCUAGGAUUUUCGCUUACCUGACCAAGAAAUGUUGAAGAAACAAAAUAUCAGACCUUUUCUUCGGGGAUGGCUCGUAAAUUCCUUCAGUUGCUUCAUCACCAGACAGAGGAGAAUCAACAUCAUUUUCUUGAGGUUCUUGUUCUUGACACUUUGCUUCCAUUUCAUACAAGGACUAAGAAUAUGUACUAAUAUAUACUGUGUAUGUAUAUGUGUUAGGGUGGGGUGAGAUGGGGUGGCUGGAAAUAGUUGGUGUGAAGUGGGCGAAAUGGUGGAAUUUGUGAGUUUUAAUAUGGGACAUGUCACGUUGACAGAUUGGCAGAGAAGUAAUGCGA